GCCCCGGCGGUGCCUCGGGGGUAUAGACAUAGAUUCCGAUACAAUCAUCGAACUGUCAAAGCACCCAAAUAUAGUCGGCUCGCAAGCUUACCUGUGGCAAUACAGGAAAAGUUAAAUCGGAUUGCAGCAGCAACUAAAGGUAGAACAGCAUCGGAUAGCGGCUCGGGUUUUAUGUGCAUGGGUGGCUCUGCAGAUUUCACCAUGCAGACUCUGAUUGGUGGAGGCUCAAGCUUGUGUUGAGAUCAUUGAGCUUUUACAAGGCUGGGGAAUUCAUUGAAGCCCAAAAGCUACAAGCGAUUGUAGCUCAAGGGGAUUGGAUAUCAAUUCAAGAAGGCGUGGUUGGUACGAAAAGCAGCCUGCUAAAUAUUCUACUUUGGAUACGGUGGGUGUGGGCGCAAGCCCCCUUCCGAGCAUGACAAAACAGGAGGCUUUCAAAUACUCCGAGGGUUUUAAGGAGCUGGUAGCUGUCGAGAAGGUUCUUUGAGGGCGACGAAUUGAGAAGGAGAAUGACUACUAAAAGAAGCGAUUGAUCCAUGGUGACCAAGUGAUGGACUGAGGAAGGCCCUCGAAGAAAAAAAGACAUUGACAUCGCAUUGCGCAUCUCCUAGUUUCAUUUCCGGCCUUUUAUAAAUAUUUCUCUAGUCUUCACCGCUCACCAUGAAUGGCCAUACGUCGGGGCAGAAGUGGAUGCGCAGUCCUGGGGGACUGAGUCUUUUCAAGAUUUGCUAUCUGAAUCCUAUUCUCUUUUCUACUGUGUAUA
rnacentral:sRNA from 1 species